CCGCCCGUCACACCAUGGGAGCUGGUAAUACCCAAAGUCGGUUUGCUAACCUCGGAGGCGACUGCCUAAGGUAGGACUGGUGACUGGGGUGAAGUCGUAACAAGGUAUCCCUACGAGAACGUGGGGAUGGAUCACCUCCUUUCUACGUAGUACAAUGAAGCCCGAUGGUGGCUUCGAGACUAAAAGUUAUGGAAAAACAUCGUAUCCAGUCUUGAGAGAACUAAACUUCUCUCUUUUGUUCUUUGAAAACUGAAUAUAGACAUUGAAAAUUAAAAAAUUAAUAUUUCAAAGUUUAGAUCAACCUAUAGAAUACAAAAUCAAUACAAUAGGUCAAUACUAUACAAUUGCAUAACAAAAAAUACUAUUAAACAAGAUAAGAGUUUUUGGUGGAUGCCUUGGGUCUGGAAGUCGAUGAAGGACGUGAUUACCUGCGAUAAGCCUCGUUUAGCUGGAAAUAAGCAAUUAUACGGGGAUUUCCGAAUGGGGAAACCUAAUUAAGCUAAUCCUUAAUUAUCAUAUCGAUGAAUUCAUAGUCGAAUGAAGAGACACGCUGUGAAUUGAAACAUCUCAGUAGCAGCAGGACAAGAAAAUAAAGAAUGAUUCCCUCAGUAGUGGCGAGCGAACGGGGAAGAGCCCAAACCAACACAAGUUGUUGGGGUUGUAGGACUACUAACAUGAAGUUACAAAAUUUACAUAUAGCAGAACAAGUUGGAAUGCUUGGACGGAGAGGGUGAAAUCCCCGUAAGCGAAAUGUGUAAAUCUUCUAGUAGCAUCCUGAGUAGGGCGGGGCACGUGAAACCCUGUCUGAAUCUGCCGGGACCACCCGGUAAGGCUAAAUACUAACCAGACACCGAUAGCGAACUA
rnacentral:sRNA from 2 species